rfam:Leucobacter sp. 7(1) genome assembly, contig: Scaffold14
GGCGCAAUCCACGGGAGUCCCGGCGCGCGGGGCUGAGAGGGAGCACGCGUGCUCUGACCGUUCAACCUGAUCUGGUUCAUACCAGCGGAGGAAGGGACUCUUCAAUGACGC